rnacentral:rRNA from 1 species
GUGCCAGCCGCCGCGGUAAUACCGGCAGCCCAAGUGAUGGCCGAUCUUAUUGGGCCUAAAGCGUCCGUAGCUGGCCGCGCAAGUCCAUCGGAAAGUCCACCCGCUCAACGAGUGGCCGUCCGGUGGAAACUCCACACCUUGGGACCGGAAGGCUCGAGGGGUACGGCCGGGGUAGGAGUGAAAUCCUGUAAUCCCGUCCGGACCACCGAUGGCGAAAGCACUUCGAGAAAACGGAUCCGACAGUGAGGGACGAAAGCUAAGAUCGCGAACCGGAUUAGAAACCCGAGUAGUCC